rnacentral:lncRNA from 1 species
GACAGAGAACAAAAAAAUGAAGGUAUUUGGAACAAACCCAAUCUGCACAAGAAUAUAAGGCUUUGAAUAGGCUGGGUGUUAGAUAGAUUACAUCCCUCGAUAAUGUCCAUCAGAAAAACCAAAUUUGGUCCAAUUAAUGAGGGCGAGUCAAAGAAAAUCAAGUCCGUUAGAGAGAAAAGAAAAGAAGCCCACUAUAAUAAAAUAAAGAGAAAAUUGGAAAAAAUGGACACUUUGAACUUAGAUUUGUCCCAAUAAGAUUUUUAGAAGAUUAUUUAGGGAAAUAGGAUUUAGAUUAAUGUUAAUACCAUUAUACCCUUAAAUUAUUCAAUUUAUUUUAGAUAAAAACCAAUAAAUAAAAUAUUUCGUAAUUAAUUUAAUAUUAAAAUUUAAAAAAAAAACAGAAGGAAAAAAAAUAAACCCACGAGAGAAAACAAAAGCACUUAAAUGGUUUUACCCUAUUUUUUCUUCGCUUUACUCCUUUCUCUAGCGUAACUUCAACCUGUAUCAAUGGCGAUUAGGGUUAUGGAGAAUCCUUGUUCAUCGGAAAUCAUCUAUAUCCCUCUAGCGCCUUCGAAAAUCUUUGAUUUGUUCAAAUUUUUUUGAAAAUCAGUGAUUUCUUCUUCUGGGUUUGUAUAGAAAAUCAUUCUAGGUUUGUUUCUUCUUUGAUUCAUCUGUUUUUGAUCGAUCUGUAUGGGAUUUAGGGUUUCUUCUUCUGUAUUUAUCGAAUCUGUUUUACAAUGAUUUUUUGUCUUUUUGAUAUGUUUCAUUGAAAAGAAAAUUGUUUUCUUCUUAGAUGAUGAGUCUGUUGAGAAGAAAGAAGAGGAGAAAGAAGAAGAGGAGGAUAAGGGAGAAGGGACUUUGACUUGAGGUAUUAUCUUUUAGUAUCUAAUGUUUUGUAAGUUUAUGUUGAUACUUGACUUGAGCCUUGAGGUAUAACUCUGAGCACUGCUUACUUGCUUAGUGACUUAGUGUUGUCGAGAGAAUGUUGUUAUCAUAUCUCUGUUCUUGGAUUGCAUCCUUGCUGUCUUUGUAAUUUUU